UGGGGGAUAUUGCACAAUGGGGGGAACCCUGAUGCAGCGACGCCGCGUGGGUGAAGGAGUGCUUCGGCAUGUAAAGCCCUAUCGGCAGGGAAGAAGCAAGACGGUACCUGACUAAGAAGCCCCGGCUAACUACGUGCCAGCAGCCGCGGUAAUACGUAGGGGGCGAGCGUUAUCCGGAUUCACUGGGUGUAAAGGGAGCGUAGACGGCCAAGCAAGCCAGGGGUGAAAGCCCGGGGCCCAACCCCGGGACUGCCCUUGGAACUGCAUGGCUGGAGUGCGGGAGGGGCAGGCGGAAUUCCUGGUGUAGCGGUGAAAUGCGUAGAUAUCAGGAGGAACACCGGCGGCGAAGGCGGCCUGCUGGACCGCGACUGACGUUGAGGCUCGAAAGCGUGGGGAGCGAACAGG
rnacentral:rRNA from 1 species